UUAAGCGACUAAGCGUACACGGUGGAUGCCCUGGCAGUCAGAGGCGAUGAAGGACGUGCUAAUCUGCGAAAAGCGUCGGUAAGGUGAUAUGAACCGUUAUAACCGGCGAUGUCCGAAUGGGGAAACCCAGUGCAAUUCGUUGCACUAUCGUUAACUGAAUACAUAGGUUAACGAGGCGAACCGGGGGAACUGAAACAUCUAAGUACCCCGAGGAAAAGAAAUCAACCGAGAUUCCCCCAGUAGCGGCGAGCGAACGGGGAGCAGCCCAGAGUCUGAAUCAGCUUGUGUGUUAGUGGAACGGUCUGGAAAGUCCGACGGUACAGGGUGAUAGUCCCGUACACCAAAAUGCACAGGCUGUGAACUCGAAGAGUAGGGCGGGACACGUGGUAUCCUGUCUGAAUAUGGGGGGACCAUCCUCCAAGGCUAAAUACUCCUGACUGACCGAUAGUGAACCAGUACCGUGAGGGAAAGGCGAAAAGAACCCCGGCGAGGGGAGUGAAAAAGAACCUGAAACCGUGUACGUACAAGCAGUGGGAGCACCUUCGGGUGUGACUGCGUACCUUUUGUAUAAUGGGUCAGCGACUUAUAUUCUGUAGCAAGGUUAACCGUAUAGGGGAGCCGCAGGGAAACCGAGUCUUAACUGGGCGUUAAGUUGCAGGGUAUAGACCCGAAACCCGGUGAUCUAGCCAUGGGCAGGUUGAAGGUUGGGUAACACUAACUGGAGGACCGAACCGACUAAUGUUGAAAAAUUAGCGGAUGACUUGUGGCUGGGGGUGAAAGGCCAAUCAAACCGGGAGAUAGCUGGUUCUCCCCGAAAGCUAUUUAGGUAGCGCCUCGUGAAUUCAUCUUCGGGGGUAGAGCACUGUUUCGGCUAGGGGGUCAUCCCGACUUACCAACCCGAUGCAAACUACGAAUACCGAAGAAUGUUAUCACGGGAGACACACGGCGGGUGCUAACGUCCGUCGUGAAGAGGGAAACAACCCAGACCGCCAGCUAAGGUCCCAAAGUCAUGGUUAAGUGGGAAACGAUGUGGGAAGGCACAGACAGCCAGGAUGUUGGCUUAGAAGCAGCCAUCAUUUAAAGAAAGCGUAAUAGCUCACUGAUCGAGUCGGCCUGCGCGGAAGAUGUAACGGGGCUAAACCAUGCACCGAAGCUGCGGCAGCGACACUAUGUGUUGUUGGGUAGGGGAGCGUUCUGUAAGCCUGCGAAGGUGACCUGUGAGGGUUGCUGGAGGUAUCAGAAGUGCGAAUGCUGACAUAAGUAACGAUAAAGCGGGUGAAAAGCCCGCUCGCCGGAAGACCAAGGGUUCCUGUCCAACGUUAAUCGGGGCAGGGUGAGUCGACCCCUAAGGCGAGGCCGAAAGGCGUAGUCGAUGGGAAACAGGUUAAUAUUCCUGUACUUGGUGUUACUGCGAAGGGGGGACGGAGAAGGCUAUGUUAGCCGGGCGACGGUUGUCCCGGUUUAAGCAUGUAGGCUGGUUAUCCAGGCAAAUCCGGAUAAUCAAGGCUGAGGUGUGAUGACGAGGCACUACGGUGCUGAAGUAACAAAUGCCCUGCUUCCAGGAAAAGCCUCUAAGCAUCAGGUAACAUUAAAUCGUACCCCAAACCGACACAGGUGGUCAGGUAGAGAAUACCAAGGCGCUUGAGAGAACUCGGGUGAAGGAACUAGGCAAAAUGGUGCCGUAACUUCGGGAGAAGGCACGCUGGUGUGUAGGUGAAGUCCCUGCGGAUGGAGCUGAGACCAGUCGAAGAUACCAGCUGGCUGCAACUGUUUAUUAAAAACACAGCACUGGUGCAAACACGAAAGUGGACGUAUACGGUGUGACGCCUGCCCGGUGCCGGAAGGUUAAUUGAUGGGGUUAUCCGUAAGGAGAAGCUCUUGAUCGAAGCCCCGGUAAACGGCGGCCGUAACUAUAACGGUCCUAAGGUAGCGAAAUUCCUUGUCGGGUAAGUUCCGACCUGCACGAAUGGCGUAAUGAUGGCCAGGCUGUCUCCACCCGAGACUCAGUGAAAUUGAACUCGCUGUGAAGAUGCAGUGUACCCGCGGCAAGACGGAAAGACCCCGUGAACCUUUACUAUAGCUUGACACUGAACAUUGAGCCUUGAUGUGUAGGAUAGGUGGGAGGCUUUGAAGCGUGGACGCCAGUCUGCGUGGAGCCAACCUUGAAAUACCACCCUUUAAUGUUUGAUGUUCUAACGUUGGCCCCUGACCGGGGUUGCGGACAGUGUCUGGUGGGGUAGUUUGACUGGGGCGGUCUCCUCCCAAAGCGUAACGGAGGAGCACGAAGGUUAGCUAAUCCUGGUCGGACAUCAGGAGGUUAGUGCAAUGGCAUAAGCUAGCUUGACUGCGAGCGUGACGGCGCGAGCAGGUGCGAAAGCAGGUCAUAGUGAUCCGGUGGUUCUGAAUGGAAGGGCCAUCGCUCAACGGAUAAAAGGUACUCCGGGGAUAACAGGCUGAUACCGCCCAAGAGUUCAUAUCGACGGCGGUGUUUGGCACCUCGAUGUCGGCUCAUCACAUCCUGGGGCUGAAGUAGGUCCAAGGGUAUGGCUGUUCGCCAUUUAAAGUGGUACGCGAGCUGGGUUUAGAACGUCGUGAGACAGUUCGGUCCCUAUCUGCCGUGGGCGCUGGAGAAUUGAGGGGGGCUGCUCCUAGUACGAGAGGACCGGAGUGGACGCAUCACUGGUGUUCGGGUUGUCAUGCCAAUGGCACUGCCCGGUAGCUAAAUGCGGAAGAGAUAAGUGCUGAAAGCAUCUAAGCACGAAACUUGCCCCGAGAUGAGUUCUCCCUGAGACUUUAAGUCUCCUGAAGGAACGUUAAAGACGAUGACGUUGAUAGGCCGGGUGUGUAAGCGCAGCGAUGCGUUGAGCUAACCGGUACUAAUGAACCGUGAGGCUUAACCUU
rnacentral:rRNA from 1 species